rnacentral:ncRNA from 1 species
UACCUGGUUGAUCCUGCCAAGUAGUCAUAUGCUUGUCUCAAAGAUUAAGCCAUGCAUGUGUAAGUAAUGAACAAAUUCAGACUGUGAAACUGCGAAUGGCUCAUUUAAAUCAGUUAUAGUUUGUUUGAUGGAUCUUGCUACUCGAAUACCGUAGUAAAUUCUAGAGCUAAUACGUGCAACAAACCCCGACUUCUGGAAGGAUGCAUUUAUUGAUAAAAAGGUCGACGCGGGCUUUGCCCCAGUCGGCGAUGACAUGAUAACUCACGGAUCGCACGGCCCUUGUUCCGGCGACGCAUCAUUCAAAUUUCUCGCCCUAUUUCAACUUUCGAUGGUAGGAUAGUGGCCUACUAUGGUGGUGACGGUGACGGAGAAUUAGGGUUCGAUUCCGGAGAGGGAGCCUGAGAAACGGCUACCACAUCCAAGGAAGGCAGCAGGCGCGCAAAAUCC